rnacentral:rRNA from 1 species
UACAGAGGGGGCAAGCGUUAUUCGGAAUUAUUGGGCGUAAAGGGCGCGUAGGCGGCUUGGCAAGUGGAAGGUGAAAUCCCUCGGCUUAACCUGGGAACUGCAUUUGUGACUGCAUCGCUGGAGUGCGGCAGAGGGGGAUGGAAUUCCGCGUGUAGCAGUGAAAUGCGUAGAUAUGCGGAGGAACACCGAUGGCGAAGGCAAUCCCCUGGGCCUGCACUGACGCUCAUGCACGAAAGCGUGGGGAGCAAACAGG